rnacentral:tRNA from 1 species
GGGGACUUAGCUCAGCGGUAGAGCGUGCCGUUCACAUCGGCGAGGUCGUGGGUUCGAACCCCUCAGUCCCCACCA